GCUGCGACAAAAACCUUUUUCACAGCGGCACAGCUACAUAAAUGUGGACGACCGUUUCACAUCCAAGGCUAUCGCCGGUUAUCAACUGUGGCCUCUCCAAGAGCAAUGCCUCUGUCCGCAACCACUCUUCAUUGGAAAUGAAUGGGCGACAGGCGUCUGUUUUUUUUCAUCUGGUGGCAUCCUAAGGCUGAAUGUGAUAAUGAGUGUAGGCAAAUUUGUGCCACGGUAAUCUGAUAUAUCUCCGUAUUGGGUGUAUUCUUACUUUAUGUUAUUUUAUUUAUUUAUUUUUUAUGCUUAAUUUCUGAGUUGUUUGGUGUGUGUUUUUUUUUUAAAUGUAUUUUGUCUGUUUCGUUUUGUUGUGGUUUGUUUAUGUAUUGUUCUUCUGUACUAUGUGGCCUCAAUCAUGGCAUUGCUGCAAAAGAGCCCUGUGCUCAGUCAAUUUCUCCCUGAAUAAACAAUGAUGAUGAUGAUUCUUCUGUUCUGUCUAAGGCCUGGAGCAGCUCUACGUGGAGGUGGCUUUGCUGCACACCCUUGUGACUGUGAAGGAGCUGUUGCUUCAGUGUGGAGCUAGUGCAGCUUGUGCGUACCUGGUGAAGGCCAAAAAUGCCCAUGAGACAGAUGUGUUGGACCAGCUGCACAAAAAAAUCCUGAUUUUGCAGUUCCACAGUCAGAAGAGGAGUGAGCCCGACUCCAAACUACUAGAGCUCCAGGACGUGAUGAGAUCAUGGCUUCAGUCUGUCACCACCCAGCAACCCCUCUCUAAAGUGCUGUUAUUGAUCUCAAUCAACUCUGACUCUUUGAGAGCACUGCUUAUUGGAAGUCUUAAUAAGAUAUCAGGUGAGACAGUCACACCACUGUGACAAGUGGGUGUGUGUUUUUUUGUCUUCCAGAGAAGGAGCAGUAUGGUUAGGAGCGAUAUGGUUAGGGGCGAUAUGGUUAGGGGAGAUAUGGUUAGCAGCAGUAUGGUUAGGAGCGGUAUGUUAGCAGCGGUAUGGUAAGGAGCGGGAUGGUUAGCGGUGGUAUGGUUAGCGGCGGUAUGGUUAGGAGCAGUAUGGUUAGGUGUAAGUAUAGGGUGUGGUUAGGGGUGGUAUGGUAAGCGGCGGUAUGGUUAGGAGCCGUAUGGUAAGGAGCGGUAUGGUUAGGAGUGGUAUGGUUAGCAGACAGUAGAAGGCAGAGAGACACUGAGGUUAUGGGAAUGUGUUGUUUUCUCCUGCAGGUGAGGGUGUGGUGAACACAUUUGUGCCUGCAGACAACUGCCGUCAGGUGGAUGGCAAGAGGGUGUUGAACAGGUGUGUCUUUAGGUGUACUAUCAGA